rnacentral:rRNA from 1 species
UGGCCGCGGUAACUUGACCGUGCAAAGGUAGCAUAAUUAUUAGUCUUUUAAUUGAAGGCUUGAAUGAACGAUUGGAUGAGAAAUAAACUUUAUUGAUUUAAAUCAUUAAAUUUAUAAUUUAAGUAAAAAUUCUUAAAUAAAUAAGUGGGACGAGAAGACCCUAUAGAGUUUAAUUUUUCUUUUUAUUGUGAAAUUACAGAACUAAUAUUUUUUCAAUAUUAAUAAAAAUUUUGUUGGGGUGAUAUUAAAAAUUUAUUAACUUUUAAUUAGUAUUUCAUUAAUAUAUGUUUAAUUGAUCCAAUUAUUUUGAUUAUAAGAUUAAAUUACCUUAGGGAUAACAGCGUUAUUAAUUUGGAGAGUUCAAAUCGAUAAAUUAGUUUGCGACCUCGAUGUUGGAUUAAGAAAAAAUUUUAGAGCAGUAUUUAAAAUUUUGGGUCUGUUCGACCUUUAAAUUCUUACG